UACGAAGGGGGCUAGCGUUGCUCGGAAUCACUGGGCGUAAAGCGCACGUAGGCGGGUUCUUAAGUCGGUGGUGAAAUCCUGGAGCUCAACUCCAGAACUGCCUCCGAUACUGAGAGCCUCGAGUCCGGGAGAGGUGAGUGGAACUGCGAGUGUAGAGGUGAAAUUCGUAGAUAUUCGCAAGAACACCAGUGGCGAAGGCGGCUCACUGGCCCGGUACUGACGCUGAGGUGCGAAAGCGUGGGGAGCAA
rnacentral:rRNA from 1 species